rnacentral:rRNA from 1 species
GGCUCGGUGAUGUGGACGUGCCGCAAGGUAAGCACUGCUCUGGUCGGGUCUUUCCUUCUGGGGAACCAGCGUGCUCUUAAUUGAGUGCGCUGGGGAUCCAGGACUUUUACUUUGAAAAAAUUAGAGUGUUUAAAGCAGGCAUACGCUUGAAUACAUUAGCAUGGAAUAAUAGAAUAGGAC